GAACGCUGGCGGCGUGCUUAACACAUGCAAGUCGAACGAAGAAGGUUAGAAUGAGAGCUUCGGCAGGAUUUCUUUCCAUCUUAGUGGCGGACGGGUGAGUAACGUGUGGGCAACCUGCCCUGUACUGUGGAAUAAUCAUUGGAAACGAUGACUAAUACCGCAUGUGGUCCUCGGAAGGCAUCUUCUGAGGAAGAAAGGAUUUAUUCGGUACAGGAUGGGCCCGCAUCUGAUUAGCUAGUUGGUGAGAUAACAGCCCACCAAGGCGACGAUCAGUAGCCGACCUGAGAGGGUGAUCGGCCACAUUGGGACUGAGACACGGCCCAAACUCCUACGGGAGGCAGCAGUGGGGAAUAUUGCACAAUGGGCGAAAGCCUGAUGCAGCAACGCCGCAUGAAGGAUGAAGGGUUUCGGCUCGUAAACUUCUAUCAAUAGGGAAGAAACAAAUGACGGUACCUAAAUAAGAAGCCCCGGCUAACUACGUGCCAGCAGCCGCGGUAAUACGUAGGGGGCAAGCGUUAUCCGGAAUUACUGGGUGUAAAGGGAGCGUACGCGGCAUGGUAAGCCAUAUGUGAAAGCCUUGGGCUUAACCCGAGGAUUGCAUUUGGAACUAUCAAGCUAGAGUACAGGAGAGGAAAGCGGAAUUCCUAGUGUAGCGGUGAAAUGCGUAGAUAUUAGGAAGAACACCAGUGGCGAAGGCGGCUUUUCUGGACUGAAACUGACGCUGAGGCUCGAAAGCGUGGGGAGCAAACAGGAUUAGAUACCCUGGUAGUCCACGCCGUAAACGAUGAGUGCUAGGUGUCGGGGAGGAAUCCUCGGUGCCGCAGCUAACGCAAUAAGCACUCCACCUGGGGAGUACGACCGCAAGGUUGAAACUCAAAGGAAUUGACGGGGGCCCGCACAAGCGGUGGAGCAUGUGGUUUAAUUCGAAGCAACGCGAAGAACCUUACCAAGGCUUGACAUCCCGAUGACCGUCCUAGAGAUAGGACUUCUCUUCGGAGCAUCGGUGACAGGUGGUGCAUGGUUGUCGUCAGCUCGUGUCGUGAGAUGUUGGGUUAAGUCCCGCAACGAGCGCAACCCUUAUCUUCAGUAGCCAUCAUUCAGUUGGGCACUCUGGAGAGACUGCCGUGGAUAACACGGAGGAAGGUGGGGAUGACGUCAAAUCAUCAUGCCCCUUAUGUCUUGGGCUACACACGUGCUACAAUGGCUGGUAACAAAGUGACGCAAGACGGCGACGUUAAGCAAAUCACAAAAACCCAGUCCCAGUUCGGAUUGUAGUCUGCAACUCGACUACAUGAAGCUGGAAUCGCUAGUAAUCGCGAAUCAGCAUGUCGCGGUGAAUACGUUCCCGGGCCUUGUACACACCGCCCGUCACACCAUGGGAGUUGGAAGCACCCGAAGUCGGUGACAUAACCGUAAGGAAGGAGCCGCCGAAGGUGAAGCCAGUGA
rnacentral:rRNA from 1 species